rnacentral:rRNA from 1 species
UACGUAGGGUGCGAGCGUUGUCCGGAAUUAUUGGGCGUAAAGAGCUUGUAGGCGGUCUGUCGCGUCUGCUGUGAAAAUCCGGGGCUCAACCCCGGACUUGCAGUGGGUACGGGGCAGACUAGAGUGUGGUAGGGGAGACUGGAAUUCCCGGUGUAGCGGUGAAAUGCGCAGAUAUCGGGAGGAACACCGGUGGCGAAGGCGGUUCUCUGGGCCUUACCUGACGCUGAGGAGCGAAAGCGUGGGGAGCGAACAGG